GGGGCUGGGGGGUCUCCUGCCCAAGAGGCAAGUCCAGGAGCUGGUGUCAGGCAGCAGGUCACUUGUGGGCCCCGAGUGUCCGAUCUGGAAACAGCUGCCUGUCCCCACGCCCGGGGACUGCGCGGGGCUGGCAACCGUCUCCUUGUACCUGAGAAUUAUCCAUACACCCCGGGGGUGUGAGCCCUGCGCUCCCCUGUCAGUGCCUGGGGCACAGAGCCAUGUGUACGAGUCACUCUGUGCGGGGAUGUCAGUUCGUACAGACUUUGCUGGGGCUUUUUCUGUAGCCUGUGGUAAAAUGAGGCAAUUAACUAGAUGCCUUGAUGGAAGUUCUCUGCGUACCCUCAGGGGUACACGUACCCCUGGUUGAGAACCACUGACGUAGGGGAACCCAGGCCCACCCCCCAUUCUGACUUCCAACCCCGUACCCUGGGCAGCUGGUUCAGCUUUGCUUACCUUGCAUCAGCCUCAAGUCAGCUUCACUGGGUCACCAGUUCCACCAUGGCCAGGCAUCAGAGAGAGGAAGUUUCCUCUCAGCUGUAAAAGCAGCAAGGGCUCCAUGAGGGGUCGGUGCUGGUGGAGCAAUUAUUGACACUUUCUCUAGUCUCCUUUUCAGAUUUUGCCCCAUUUUCUCUUUAAUUCUCCAAUGUUAAUUUAACAAUCUCAGAUUUGGGAUAUUUUCACACCCGUUUGACCUGCAGCAAAUUUUCUUCCUUUCUUUGGGAAAUUGUCCUGAAUCAUUCCCCAAAUGAGAAGGGGCUUAAUGGAUGCAGUUUGCAGAGCCCUGAGACACAGCUGCCUCUGGGGUGGGCUGGGGUGGCCAUUCUCUGCUGGCAAGGAAGGGGACAGAAGGAAAAAGUCCGCAGUGGAGACUGUCCAGCACAAGGUUACGCAGUCCUGGCUACUGCUACCCCCAACUGCCAGUCACCUGCCUGCCCCUGCUUCUGCCUCCUCCCCACUGCCAGGAAGUUUUCCUGCUCCACACUCCCCUCACCUGUGAAUUGAGUGGAGCUUUUCAUUGAUCUGUCUACAGCAACAUGCAGAUCCCGUUCUUGGGUUGAGUAGCCGAUAAUCUGUUCUGCUGCCGUCGCUAGGUGUAAUGCAUGUUCAGUAGGGGUUUCUCCCCUCUUCCCUUUUUGUAUUUCCUCUCCCUACUAGUGUUGGGGUGUCCUUCUCCUCAGGUUAGUGUAUUAAUGAUCUCAUCUUGGGGUCAUAUGUGUCAAUUCAUUGCUACGUCUUCAGAGAACUAUCCAUGAUGACUCCAAGAUCUCUUUCCUGAUUAGUUGUAGCUAAAUUAGCCCCCAUCAUAUUGUAUGUAUAGUUGGGGUUAUGUUUUUCCAACGUGACAUUUAUCCACCUUAAAUUUCAUUUGCCAUUUUGUUGCCCAA